AGAUUGAACGCUGGCGGCAUGCUUUACACAUGCAAGUCGAACGGGGUGGUGGGGCAACCUGCCAUUCAGUGGCGAACGGGUGAGUAAUACAUCGGAACGUGUCCCGUAGUGGGGGAUAACCCGGCGAAAGCCGGACUAAUACCGCAUAUGCUCUACGGAGGAAAGCGGGGGACCUGAAAAGGCCUCGCGCUAUGGGAGCGGCCGAUGUCCGAUUAGCUUGUUGGUGGGGUAACGGCCUACCAAGGCGACGAUCGGUAGCUGGUCUGAGAGGAUGAUCAGCCACACUGGGACUGAGACACGGCCCAGACUCCUACGGGAGGCAGCAGUGGGGAAUUUGGACAAUGGGGGCAACCCGUGAUCCAGCCAUGCCGCGUGCGGAAGAAGGCCUUCGGUUGUAACGCGUUUUAGCCGGAAGAAAGACACGGUGAAUACCCGUGUUCGUUGACGGUACCGGCGAAGUAACGACACCGGACUAACUACGUCGACCAGCACGCCGC
rnacentral:rRNA from 1 species